UACGUAGGUGGCAAGCGUUGUCCGGAAUUAUUGGGCGUAAAGCGCGCGCAGGUGGUUCUUUAAGUCUGAUGUGAAAGCCCCCCGGCUCAACCGGGGAGGGUCAUUGGAAACUGGGGGAACUUAGUGCAGAAGAGGAUAGUGGAAUUCCAAGUGUAGCGGUGAAAUGCGUAGAGAUUUGGAGGAACACCAGUGGCGAAGGCGACUGUCUGGUCUGUAACUGACACUGAGGCGCGAAAAGCGUGGGGAGCAAACAGGG
rnacentral:rRNA from 1 species